rnacentral:rRNA from 1 species
AUUGAACGCUGGCGGCAGGCCUAACACAUGCAAGUCGAGCGAGCGGCGGACGGGUGAGUAAUGUAUGGGGACUGCCCGAUAGAGGGGGCUAACUACUGGAAACGGUGGCUAAUACCGCAUACUAUCGGAUAACCCAUAUGGGAUUAGCUAGUAGGUGGGGUAAAGGCUCACCUAGGCGACGAUCUCUAGCUGGUCUGAGAGGAUGAUCAGCCAAAAGGGGAGUGAGAAAAGGCCCCGACUCUAAGGGAGGGAGGAGUGGGGAAUAUUGCAGAAAGGGGGCAAGCCUGAUGGCGCCAUGCCGGGGGUAAUAAGAAGGCCUUAGGGGUGUAAAGUACUUUCAGGGGGGGGGCGUUACCCGCAGAAGAAGCACCGGCUAACUCCGUGCCAGCAGCCGCGGUAAUUC